rnacentral:rRNA from 1 species
AACGAACGCUGGCGGCAGGCUUAACACAUGCAAGUCGAACGCUCGUAGCAAUACGGGAGUGGCGGACGGGUGAGUAACGCGUGGGAACGUGCCCUGAGGUACGGAAUAACUGAGGGAAACUUCAGCUAAUACCGUAUGAGCCCCGAGAGGGGGGAAAGAUUUAUCGCCUUGGGAGCGGCCCGCGUCGGAUUAGCUAGUUGGUGGGGUAACGGCCUACCAAGGCUUCGAUCCGUAGCUGGUCUGAGAGGAUGAUCCGCCACACUGGAACUGAGACACGGUCCAGACUCCUACGGGAGGCAGCAGUGGGGAAUUUUGGACAAUGGGGGCAACCCUGAUCCAGCCAUGCCGCGUGAGUGAAGAAGGCCU